rnacentral:rRNA from 1 species
GACGAACGCUGGCGGCGUGCUUAACACAUGCAAGUCGAACGGAAAGGCCCUGCUUUUGUGGGGUGCUCGAGUGGCGAACGGGUGAGUAACACGUGAGUAACCUGCCCUUGACUUUGGGAUAACUUCAGGAAACUGGGGCUAAUACCGGAUAGGAGCUCCUGCUGCAUGGUGGGGUUGGAAAGUUUCGGCGGUUGGGGAUGGACUCGCGGCUUAUCAGCUUGUUGGUGGGGUAGUGGCUUACCAAGGCUUUGCCGGGUAGCCGGCCUGAGAGGGUGACCGGCCACAUUGGGACUGAGAUACGGCCCAGACUCCUACGGGAGGCAGCAGUGGGGAAUAUUGCACAAUGGGCGGAAGCCUGAUGCAGCAACGCCGCGUGCGGGAUGACGGCCUUCGGGUUGUAAACCUCUUUCGCCUGUGACGAAGCGUGAGUGACGGUAAUGGGUAAAGAAGCACCGGCUAACUACGUG